rnacentral:lncRNA from 1 species
CCCGAACCUGUUGGCAGGUCUUCGUCCCGCCCCUUCUUUCCCUUUCUCCCGCCUCCCCGAGUUUACGCGCUGUGAUUGGUCGAGAGAGCCGUCCGGUCUCCUUUCCCCUCCCCCUCCCGCGGGCGAGUUGGGCUGCGCGGCAGCGGAGGUGGAAGCCUGAGGCGGCAGCGGCGGCGGCAGCGGCCUCCCCUUCGUCCUCCUUCCCUCCUUCCCUCCUCCCGCCCGCCCAGCUCGCCUCCCGGCUGCCCUUGUGCCUCACACACCCCCCUGGCCUCCUCCGUCCCGGCGCUUGCUCCGGGAGCUGAGCCGGCCCCGCCUGAGGAGCAGCAGUGGCGGGAAGAUCCAGCUUCCUUUGGUCAAGUACAGCUUUCUACCUUGGUGCUGAGAAUCCUUAAAGAUAGUGAGUCGGGAUUUCAUGUUCCUAAGCAAAAGCUCUGUUAAGAGAAAAAAGAAGAGGGAGAGGAGGAGAAGGACGAGAGAAAUAAAGAAACCACAGGCCAGUGGGAAUUGUGGGUU